rnacentral:misc_RNA from 1 species
UUUUUCACUUCACAUUAGGUCAAAUGUAUCAUUUACCAAUUUCUCACAAUUUUGCCUCCCAAACCCUAGGUCCAAACCCUAACUUUCAUAUCUUACUCACUUAUUGAAUUCUAAAUACAUUUUUAGUACUCAUACCCUCACUUACACUUAACCACUUCAUUAUUUGUAUCAAAAUUACCCAUUUCAACGUUAGUUUGCUGCUGGCCAAAAUUCCUAGGGUUUUAGAUAAGUAUGAUUUUGCAUGUUUUCAUGUAUUUCUAACCACUUUCAUCUUACUUUUAUACUUAUAAUUCAAUCAAAAUUAAGGAAGAGAGCUUACCUCAAAUGGAGCUUUCCAACUUCUUGAUUCUUCAAGCUUUUUUAAAUUUUUCUCUUCCCAAUCUUCUUAACAAGACUCAACUACAAGUUUUAAUUAAGAAACUUAUAAAUUUUAUGGCUCAAAUCUUAGGUUUAAGAAGCUUUUUAGUGAGCUUCAAUGGUUGAGGUUAAGAAAAUGAGAGAGAUGAGAGAGAUGAGAGAGGAGAUAAGAGUUGACGGAAAUGAAGAAAAAAAAAAACCAAUUUCUUUUCUUUUUAUUUUGCUUAUGGAAGACCACAAAAUCCAAAUUUAAUAAUUCAUUUAAUUGAUUCUUUUAUGACAUCAUGCAUGAGGUCAUGCAUGAUGUCAUCACCUUUUUACUUUUUCAUUUUCCUCUCUUUUUUUUUAUUUUUCUAUUAGUUCUUUAAUUUA